rnacentral:tRNA from 1 species
GGGGUUGUGGCUCAGAGGUAGAGCACUCGCCUAGCAUGUGUGAGGCACUGGGUUUGAUCCUCAGCACCACUU